UACGGAGGAUGCAAGCGUUAUCCGGAAUUAUUGGGCGUAAAGCGUCCGCAGGUGGCACUUCAAGUCUGUCGUCAAAGACCGGGGCUUAGCCCUGGAAAGGCGAUGGAAACUGAAAGGCUAGAGAGAGGUAGGGGUAGAGGGAAUUCCCAGUGUAGCGGUGAAAUGCGUAGAGAUUGGGAAGAACAUCGGUGGCGAAAGCGGCUCUCUGGAACGGUACUGACGCUGAGACGCGAAAGCGUGGGGAGCGAACAGG
rnacentral:rRNA from 1 species